rnacentral:rRNA from 1 species
CCUACGGGGCAGCAGUGGGGAAUAUUGGGCAAUGGAGGAAACUCUGACCCAGCGACGCCGCGUGCGGGAUGAAGGCCUUCGGGUUGUAAACCGCUUUCAGCAGGGAAGAAGCGAAAGUGACGGUACCUGCAGAAGAAGCACCGGCUAACUAUGUGCCAGCAGCCGCGGUAAUACAUAGGGUGCAAGCGUUGUCCGGAAUUAUUGGGCGUAGAGAGCUCGUAGGUGGUUAGUUACGUCGGAUGUGAAAAUCUAGGGCUCAACCCUAGACCUGCAUCUGAUACGGGCUAGCUUGAGUUUGGUAGGGGAGACUGGAAUUCCUGGUGUAGCGGUGGAAUGCGCAGAUAUCAGGAGGAACACCAAUGGCGAAGGCAGGUCUCUGGGCCAAUACUGACACUGAGGAGCGAAAGUGUGGGGAGCGAACAGGAUUAGAUACCCUGGUAGUCCCACACAGUAACGAGUAGGCGACUAGUUAGUAGGUACGUUACCGUACGGUUCGUUGUCGACGCAGCUACGCAUAAGUACGCCCGCCGUCGGGGUAGGUACGACGUCGCGACGAAGUUAAACGUAACGAACGGUAAGUUAGACGGACGUGAGACGUACGCCGACGGACGACGACGAGGGAGGAGG